rnacentral:rRNA from 1 species
UGCUUUUCUGCCGGCGACCGGCGCACGGGUGCGGAACGCGUAUGGAACCUGCCCCUGUCAGGGGAAUAGCCCAGGGAAACUUGGAUUAAUGCCCCAUGGUAUCAUUAUAUCGCAUGAUAUUUUGAUUAAAGAUUUAUCGGACAGGGAUGGCCAUGCGUACCAUUAGUUAGAUGGUGAGGUAACGGCUCACCAUGGCAGCGAUGGUUAGGGGCCCUGAGAGGGGGAUCCCCCACACUGGUACUGAGACACGGACCAGACUCCUACGGGAGGCAGCAGUGAGGAAUAUUGGACAAUGGUCGGGAGACUGAUCCAGCCAUGCCGCGUGCAGGAUGACUGCCCUAUGGGUUGUAAACUGCUUUUAUACGGGAAGAAACGCACCUACGUGUAGGUGUCUGACGGUACCGUAAGAAUAAGGACCGGCUAACUCCGUGCCAGCAGCCGCGGUAAUACGGAGGGUCCGAGCGUUAUCCGGAAUCAUUGGGUUUAAAGGGUCCGUAGGCGGGCCUGUAA